ensembl:lncRNA
AGCUUGCAGGAUGUACCACAUGUUAAGAGGGUCUUAGGCUACCUGUAUACAAGUAAUUUUCAAUGCUUUUCAUCUAAGUCUAAAAGCUGACCCAUCCUUUAAAAGUAUGUGCUCAGUAAGUCACCAGAAAGUGGCAUGGAGCAGAGGAUUGUUUAAUUAGGGGUGCUGAGUCACUUUGGGGACCUGGAGGCUCUGUCUUUGACUAGGCAAAGUGUUUGCUCCAAGCCUUUCCUCUGCCCAAAUCUGUGAAGAUCUAGUUGCACCUUGGAACUUUCAGCACCAAGGCGCCAAGUGAACUGCCAUGAACAACAAGAUAUGCACAACACCCACCAGGCAUGCAUGUGCUCUCUCUGAGCACUGGUGCAGACCCACCCAGGGCAAAUGCAGACUGUCUUCAUGCGGAGAUAUCACCUGCAGGUGCAUGGGUUGCCCUUGGAUACUGCUGUAACAAGAUUUCUUUUCUCCAAAGACAGAAAGGCUGGAUUGUGGCUCUGUCUGGGUUGGGCUUUUUGUAUUGAGUGACUCAACCAUCAAAAGGCUUUUGCCUUCAUUCAUGGAAGCAGAAGAAAAAGAUAAAACAUGGAAAUGAUGUGACAAUUUCAAGAGCUGGAAC